rnacentral:rRNA from 1 species
ACGGCGAGUGAAGAGGGAAAAGCCCAAAUUUGUAAUCUGGCCUUUCUUGAAAGGGUCCGAAUUGUAAUUUUGAGAACUGUUUUCUGUGCUGGACCAUGUACAAGUCUGUUGAAAAGCAGCAUCAUUGAGGGUGAAAAUCCCGUAGAUGAUAUGGACUACCAGGGCAAUAUGAUACAGUCUCUAAGAGUCGAGUUGUUUGGGAAUGCAGCUCAAAGUGGGUGGUAAAUUCCAUCUAAGGCUAAAUAUAGGUGAGAGACCGAUAGCAAACAAGUACCGUGAGGGAAAGAUGAAAAGAACUUUGGAAAGAGAGUUAACAGUACGUGAAAUUGUUAAAAGGGAAACAUUUGAAGUUAGACUUGUUAUUGUUGGAUCAGCUUCUUUAUUGAGGUGUAUUCUGAUGAUUAACAGACCAGCAUCAAUUUUUGAGUGCCGGAAAAAGGUAUUGGGAAUGUAGCAUCCUCUGGUUGUGUUAUAGACCUUUACUUCAGAAUACGGUGCUUAGGAUUGAGGAACGCGGUAAGC